GUCUCGUGGCGCAUCGGCUGCGAUCCAGGCUGUGCGUGGGCGAAGUCUCGUUGUGGUGGGCUUGCGGGCGGGGAGCGAACGGGGAUCCGGCUGGGUGGCGUUGGAACGUCUGGAGAGCGGGACGGUGGCGCCAUCUCGUUUGCGUUGGCCUAACUGCACAGCGGGGGAGAAAAA